UGAUGAUUAGGACUCACAGAUGUGUUAGUUAAACGAAGUGUCUAUAUCAUACCUCAUAUCAAUCCACAAUGACAUUAUAAUAACAAAUUUGCGUUUAUAAAUUUCAUAAUUGUGAAAUUAUUAUUUUUCUUUAUAUUGCUCGUUUUUAAGAAAAUAUUACAUUUUUCUUAGAAUGAAUUGUAAUCAGCUUACAGUGUUAUAAUUUUAAUAACAUUUUAACACCAAAACAAUUCUUCCUACAAUACCUGCAUGCCAAUACUCAGUAUUUCUGCUCUUUUCUGCAUGACCAUAGUUAGAUGUUUCUCAUUAACCAAAUUCUUUUCUCUUUUUACUAUAUCUCUCUUUCUCUCUCUGCCUUUCUCUAUCUUCCUUUUCUUUUCUCUUUUCUUAUUUCCCCCCUCCACCCAAUUCCCUUCUUUCCCUGCCCUCAGUUCUUCACUGCAGAGUACAUUGAACAUAUUAAGAACAUUCAGUUGUGGUUGGGCUUCUAACCUUGCUCAACUCCAGCAUUAGCAAAGGGAUUCAGUUUCCUGAAUUCAUUAAUAGUGUUUUGCAGCCAUUACCAUACUAGUUUAAAUACGGGCAGUCGUAUAGAAAAAAUAUACACAAAAGAUGUAAGCAGGGGGAAAAAGGAGAUAUUUAUUUGUUCUGGGAGUGCCACGGAAAUCCAAUUGCUCAGAAAUGAAAUAAGAGUCUGAAGUGAAAGGAGGGAAAACCUAAGCUUGGGUCAGGGAAGAGGCAGUGAUUAGCUCCAUUGUUAGGAGCUCUUUGAGCUUCGUUGGUUGUAAAGAAAAACCCACUAAUGAAUCUAUUGAAGCUUGCCAGAACUUUGUGUGGAAGACAACUUAAGUUAUGGUGCUUAUCUAAAAAAAUGGUAGUAAAAUAUGUGGAUAUAUAAAACAUAGCACAUAUGUCUCUUUAUUAACAGCUUGCCCAUAAAAACAAAAAAAAGUUUAAAGAUAUUGUGUUGCACAAAUGACUGAUUUAACAUGCAUAUGUUUAAUUCAGUAUUUACAGGUCUUGAAAAAAAUCACCUAACUGAUGAUAAGAUAUAAGAAAGUAUGUCCUAUGAUAGUUUAAAUACGGGGAAACAGGCAGAAAUAGAAUACAGCUAAUCUCUUCUUGGUUUUCUACCAGUAGUUGCAAAGAAAGAUGGGUUUAAAAGUCAAGUCAGAAGGCUUUUUCAUGUUUUGCAUAUUUUAAGUACGCUGAAAGCAUUUCAUUAAGAAAUGUAAUCAACUGACAUUAAAAGUAACAGACUUUGGAUAAAAGGACCGAUAUGACUGUGUACUGUACAUGGUAAAAAAUGUUCAUCAUGCUUCCAUUCUAUGUAGCGUUUCCAACAUAGAGUUGAGUCUUUUUCUGCAGGCUGAUACAAUAUUUAAUUACAUUAGCUAUGUAAUUCUGUAAAAUACAUUUCACUGUCUAAAAUAAGGUUAUCAUUAAUGUAAGAAUUCAAUUAGGUGGCAGUAUACUAGAAAAAAUAAUUUUGACCAAUCACCUGGUC
rnacentral:lncRNA from 1 species